rnacentral:lncRNA from 1 species
CACAGAGAGAGAGAGAGAGGCAGAGACCCAGGCAGAGGGAGAAGCAGGCUCCCUGCAGGGGGCCCGAAGCCCACUGGACGCUGGGCCCCCAGGAUCACAGCCCGCCCUAAGGCAGACGCUCCACCCCUGAGCCACCCAGGGGCCCCGGUUAGCAUCCUUUUCUGGUUACAAAUAAUACGUGGCUGUCGUAAACCAUUUGGAAAAUAGAGAAAACUACUUUAAACCGUUACAAUCCCUCGGUUCCCCUUGCGCAGAGGUGCCUGGCAAUGGACGGUCAGUUCCUCCCAGCGCCUUCCCCCGACCCCCCCAAACUGGGUCUUGCAGCUUUUUUAACUAGGAAUUUUCAUGUUGCUCAGGUGUAAGAAGGGUGAGGUCUCCCUGGCGCCCACCCAGCACCGCAGUCCAGGGGCUCAGCCCAGCCCCCCACCUACCCGUGUAACCUCUUCCGACCCCCCCGCAAUUCCUCAUGUGGAUGGGGUCACCCCCAGAUCAGGGCACACGUUCCAUCCCUCGCUCCACCUUAGCCUCACCCCAGCUUAACCAGCUCCAGGGUGCUUUGCCUGCAGAAUGGGAUCUUCCCCCCUCUCCCACCCCUGUGCUGUCACACUCACCAGCCCUGGUGGGCUGGGCCCUGGGCACUUCGCCCAGACCCCUGCCCCACCUCCGUCUUUGCAGGCUGUGUUGAGAGCUUCAGGGUUUUCAGCUCAGCGUCCUGAGAGGAGGACCCUUCACCCCCACCUUUCAGGACCUGGGCUACAGCCGUGUAGCCAGCCACCUGCGCAGCGGGCGGGCAGGACUGCAGUCCAGGCUUCCCAGAGCCCAGGCUGUGGGCCGCCACUGCUGCCCUGCCCUGCUCCUCUGCUGCCCCGUGCUGGAGAGGUACCGCUAUUCCUUGAGAGAGAACGAGGAGGAGACAGAGAAGACCGCCUCCCGGCCUGCAAGGCCUUCCCAGGGAGGAAGAGGAGGACGAGGGGCUGAGGAAGAGAGAGAAUCUUCCGCAGGCUCCCUGAGAUCAUGACCUGAGCUGAAAUCAGGAGUCGAAGGCGUCACUGACUAAACCGCCCCGUGCUCCUUGAAUCAGACCUUUCGAUAUCAUCAUUUCUACAUAAUUGUGAGUAUUUUCCAGCACAUACUACGUUUGUCUUCUAGUCCUCUAUUUUAACAGUUUAUCUAAUAGGUAGCAUUUUUUCUUUUUUUGCCCUUUUUUCUUUUUAAUUGUGGUAAACAAACAAACAAACAAAAAACCCACACAACAUCAAUUUAACUCUGACCUCCCUUCCCAUUUUUUUUUUCUUUUUUUUUAAUUUUUAUUUAUUUACUCUGACAGGCUCCAUGCAUCGGGAGCCCAUCGAUUUAAGUGCCCAGGUUCAGGCGCCAAACCGCUGCGCCACCCAGGGAUCCCUCCCUUCCCAUUUUUAAGUGUUCAGACGUCACUUCCACAUUGUGUGCAGACAAUUUCCAAAACUUUCUCAUCAUGUAAAACUGAAAGUAUCCUCCUUAAGCAACUUUACACUUCUCUUUGCAGUGAAAAACAACAAAAAAACAAAACAAGACAAAACAACAACAACAAAAAAAAACUUUUAUACUACGGAAAAUCGUACACAGCCACGAAAGUGGAGAGAACAGUUCCGUGCGUCCAUACGUCCCCAAUAUUCGCUUCACCAAUCUUCAGCUCCCGGCCACUCUUGUUUUAUUUAUGCUCUCACCCACUGUUGUCCCAAAAUGAGCAAAAUGUUUUAAAACUUUGAAAGAGAAAAGAAGAGAGUUUUUACUGGAGCCCCAUGAGGCCAACUGCCCGGGCUCCGCAGAGCUCACAGGGAAGACUGUGCUUGGGGAGGGGGUGAUCGGCGCAGUUAUGUACAGUUUCUCAUAGAAUCACCGACCACGGCGACCAAGGACAUUCCAGAAAGCUACAGACUUUAUCUUACGUUCUUGGUGUGGGCGAGGCUGUGUGACUUUAAUCUUAUGGGAGUCAGGGAGGGCUUUUUGGUUUUCUUACCUUUAUACUUGGAAUGCUCCUUUCUGGUUGUUUUUUUUAACAAAGCAGACGUACAGUGUGUGCUCCGGGCAGAAGCAGAGUCCAUGCUUUGAGCUCUUGCUGAGUCAUUUUGACCUCGGGUAGAUGUUAAGAUAGAGCUCCCCUGGGAGCCCGCACCCCAUGCAUGAGAAGGUGAACAUCUCCUUUAUUUCACCAUUUUUCCUCCAUCAUCCGACCCCACCAUUCCCCAUCGUUUGGCAGCACACC